rnacentral:lncRNA from 1 species
AGUUUACUUGCAAAAGACAAAUAGUGAGUAUCAAAUAGUAAUAAUGAAGUUGAUUAUCGAAGCGAUAGUGCUACAUCCAUGCGACUCAACAUUUAAAACAAUUGGAAUAAAAAGGUCAUCGGAACUGCUCAAUAGUAUCAUUUAGACUUAAUGUCGUACAGUAUUUAAUGGUCAUCUUCCCAAAUGAAGCACCAACAUAAAUGACUUUAAUUUUUUACUUGUGUGACAUCAUCUGUUUCAUAAGGUAUUACCAUAAUUACGAUAUGUGAACAUAAGACACGCUAGAGCAUAUGGAAACCGUAGUUAAACAAACAAAAUCCUCAGAACCCAAUAUAUUCUAUAAAUGUGGUCAAAUUGAAGCUUUCUUUUCCGUCUUAUCAAACGUCCAAACAUUAUUUUGAAAUAUUACAAAACGGAAUUCAAUGAAAAAAAAUAUAUGAAAAAAUGUUAAAAAAAAACUACAUUACAAAAAACUGGCAGUAUACUUCCAAACACGUCAUUGUCAAUAGAAAGUACUAUGAUUUGUUCUUUUUGGCAAAAAAAGGGGGUGGGAGGGUACUCCUCUGUAGAUUGAAACUUUUAAAAUAUACUACAAGACGAUUAUACGGUCUUCAAAAAGAGUAUAACAACAAAAAACAAAUUGUAAUGUUAUCUGUAGUACAGGUGUUUAUGCAAAAGAAUUAUCGAAAGCUCCGGAUUUUUUACAAUAUCUACUAUAAUUAUUAUUAAUUUCUAGUUCAGACAUAAGGGAUUUUACAAAAACAAUUAAAGAUUUCGAUUAAGGUUUUGGAAUACCGCAGUAUUGGUUUAUUUCUCGCUUAAAGCAGCUCUUUAACUUUUGUAAAAAUUAUUGAUAUCUAUAACAACAUAAAGCAUGUCGGUGUGUAAAACAUCGCAAAGAGAUUCGCCAGUAUUCAACAUCAGUGUAGCUAUUGUUUGGGAAGAACCCUUUUUAUCAUUUUAGUCAAAUAAAUAAGCUGUAUUUCUUUUUAAAUGAGUUUGGUUUUAGGUUUAACCUGUUUUAGUUGUUUGGGUAUUACACAUCCCCGAUUUUGCAAACAUGUGGAUACCUGUGACAGUGGAGAGGUAAUGAUACUUAAAUUUAAUCUAGAAACUCAUAAGUUUAAAUGUUGUUUGGUACCUGGUCAGUUACUGAUAUCAUAUGCAUAAGAAUAUUAUUCAAUUGCUCAUUCAUUUCAAGAAGGUAAGGUCUAACAUUAGAUUUUAAAUUUUGGUAAAAUUUUGACGUGAAAGGUUUUGCAAAAAUAAAACUUCUGAAAACUGAAAUUGAAAAGCGAUUUUGCAGCAGUUCUUAAAAUCGCAAUAAAGUAAUCUCGAUUUUUUUUUUCCAUUGUUGAAAAAUUACAAAAAUUUCAAAGUAGCAUAGAACUGAUUUGUUUACUUUUUCUUAAACGUAGGCUGCCGAUAAACCAAUCCAUGAUUCAAAUAUUGAAGAAUGAUUAUUUAUUUGAAUUCAUAUUGGUUAUGAUGUAUAAUUAGACAAUCUUACAAUGAGGUAUAUUGCGCGUCAUUGUGUGAACAACAAUUUUACACAAUACAACAGAAAUAGAUUUAAAUGUAAUCGACUUUCUUUAACUGUAGUAAAGAUGUCUUUGUGGUGUCUCUGAUUGAGCUGAACUGAUGUUCGCAGGCUUCGGCAGUGUGUGCUCGGUCAGUGACACUUUAUAUGAAUGAGUGUUUGGUAGCUUUGAUGUUGAGAAAUGAAGUUAAAAGACCAUCAAAAAUGUUUUAUUAGAUAUGUGGACUAGAAAAACUGGUGUAUUCAUCUGGAGAAACAAGCUUUAAUGUCGGAUGUUUUCAAUCAAAGGUAACUUUAUAUAUACAUGUUAAAAAUACUUAAACUACCAAACAAAAACAAAAAUAAAACAAAACAAGAAAACAUUUGACAGAGUAUCGAAUUAGACUUGCUUGUAAUACCAUUCAUUUUCAGAUAACCAAACGUAACACACAAAGCAAUUAAAAUAAGAUAAAUCGGACUGUACUGUGCACCACUUAUUGUGGACCUGUUGUUUUAAUUGUUAUGAGUUACAAUUAAUGACAAAAAUCAGCAAAGACCCAUCGAUACAACAUCUGAUACACAAACUAAACAAUCACUUAGAUAUUAGCUCUCAAUAAUGACGACUUCAGUGUGUAUACUAAAAAAAGUUAUCCUAUUGAAAUAAAGAUUAAAGCUUAUACUAAGAAGGACCACCGCCCUUUCCUCGAUCUUGAUAUAUAUAUCAUUAACGGGAAGCUUAAUACAAACAUUUAUGAUAAAAUAGAUGAUUUUUCAUUUCCUAUUGUUGGUUAUUCAUUUUAUAUGGUGACGUUCCCUUGUCGCCAUAUUAUGGUGCUUAUGUAUGUCAACUUGUACUAUUCGCUGGUGUAUUUAACAAAGUAUUAGAUUUUAGCGAGAGAAAUUUAUGUAGUACUAAAAAAUUAUUACACCAGGGUUUUCGUUAUGACAAACUAGUCAAAACAUUUACUGAAUUUUAUCAUCGGUACAAGGACAUCAUUCGUAAAUAUCACUCAACAUGUAGAUCGACAUCUUAUACGUUCAAGUAUUUUACAUCCAAUAUUUUAUGGUAAUAUUCUUUACAGAGCACAAAAAUGUCAGUAUGUACCUUAAAAGCUAACACAACCUUUUUAACAGACUUAUUAUAUUAGGAAGGGAUAUAGUUACGAUACUGCUGUGCCGUCAUUACAGAUUGCAUAUUUAGGCUUUAAUAUUGAUUUACGUAUAGGGUCUUUGUAUCGGAAUUAAACAUAUUUAUUCUAAAACCAGUUGUUGGUAUAACACGGAUUAUGUCCUUCUCGUAUAUUUUACGGAUGAAUGAUACUAAACCCCUAACGGGAGGGAUUGUACUUGAUAUUCAUAUGAUAAAGAUAUAAUCUUUUAAUUUUGAUUGAGGUAUUGAGCUGGCAUGUCAGUAAUAGUACGGGGGCUUUGUGAAAAAUUGUGCACAUCCUGCUACAAGCAUGAAAUUUGGUAUAGACCUUCCUCAACUAUUACUCUUUUAUAUAAGAUAGGAAGGCAUUUGGAAAAAAUGUCUCACUCCCUGUAAAAUCAAAAAUGGCGGACAUCAUACUUGAAUCAGCCCAAUCUCGAUGGCUAGUAGGUGAAAAGGUGUUCUUAUCAUGCUACUAUCAUAAUAGUUGGUACAAACCUUUGAUAUGUACUACUUUUGGAUAUAUUGUAUAGAUACGAUGUCUUCAAAAACCCUAUUUCCGGUCAAAUCUAACAUGGCGGACAUUGUACUUAAAUAAGCUUAUUUCUAGAGAGGGUAAUUGAAAUGUGUUUUAAAGUAUCGCUUCUAUCAUUAUAUUGUUCAGGAACCUUUCUUUGGUGCUUCUCAUGGAUACAAUUUAUAGGACAUAUUUCUUUAAAACUCCUUCUUCCGAUGAUAUCCAAUAUGGCGGAUAUAGAAAUAUCAUUUUUUUAUUUUUUCAUUUUCAACUUUUUUCAAAAUGUAAAGAAAAUGUGUUGGUUUUUUUUUUGUGCUGGUCAUUAAACUUUUGGCUUUAAGUUAUCCUCAAAACCACUAAUUCUAUUCAGCUUUAAAUGUUUAAAUGCAAAUUUAAAUUAAUAGUUCCAGUAAAAAAAAAAACAAUAUGGCGUAAAUUUCAAAGAUGAUGAUUCCUCAAUCCAUAUCUUCCAUGUAGAAUUUUUAAAAGAUUGAUUAAAACAAAAUAAAAUCACUAAAGUACUACAACAUCUUUCAAAUUACUAUUAAUGGCCUCAAAUACAUGUGUAUUCACAAUCGGAGAGCUGAUUUUCCACCUUUACAAAGACCGUGGUAUUGUUUCUUACAUCCAUAAUGUACAAGCUCCUGAUAAGAUGAAGAGGCCUCACAAAGAGAUGUCCAAAAGGGUUCACAUUGAUUAUGUUUUCCUUCGCCAUUCAUACGCCUCUGGACAAGUUAGCAUAGGAACAUAUUCCAACCUUAUUACUGAUUCACCUUGUUGUUAUAUUUGGAGCUUUAAUCUUCCAACAGACUAUUGGAAUCCCAAUUGGUACCAAUCGCGCUCCUCUACUUGCAGAUUUGUUUUUAUAUUGUUAUGAAGCAGAAUUUAUCCAAGGGCUUGUACAGAAAGGAGAACAGAAAUUAACCCAGUCUUUUAAUUCCGUAUAUUGAUGAUUUACUGUCUCUUAAUAAUAAUAGAUCCAGUGAUCACUUACAUUUAAUAUAUCCAAGUGAACUUGAAAUUAAAGAUACUACCGACACAGAUAAAUCUGCUUCAUAUUUAGACCAUUUCCUCGAAAUGACUACUGAUGGUAGGUUGGAUACCAAAAUUUAUGACAAAUGCGAUGAUUUUAAUUUUUCCUAUAGUCAACUUUCCUAUAGUCAACUUUCCAUUUCUGCGUAGAUUUCCGAGCUCUGAGAUCACCUCCAGAUUUUGGUGGGUUUUGUGUUGUCUAGUCUUUGGGGUUUUUAUCGAUGUGUCUUGUGUGCUAACAUUUGUCUAUUUGUCCUUUCUUUUCUGUUAUAAUUUGUUAUCCUUUCAUGAGCAUUUUACGAAUUUUUGCAUAUUUUAAUAUACUUUUUAUAUAUGUACUUACGUUUGAACAACAAUGGGAUAUAAAAGAAACACAUAUUUGUUUGGUCAUUUAAUGGUUCUAAACAUGAAGCUGUAUUUCAUUGUGUAAGUAAAUGUAUCUUUCAGACUUGUUAUGAUAACAGUACCAAAUCUACAGUACAUGAAACCUGUCGACAUUGUUGCUCAACAAACAUGUGCAAUGAUAAUGGUUGCGGAGAGAAAGGUUUGUCUGCCUACAUAUUUCAAAAAUAGAUUACUACUUUUAAAAUUAUUUAUGCCGUUUUGCUGUGUGAUUUUGUCUUAACAUUCUGGAUAAUGAAAUACUUGUAAUGUAUUUAGUCAAAUGUUAUCUAAGACAUAUAUUUAUAUUAACUCUAUAUGUGUCUAUUAGAUAAACUGUUCAAUAUUGUUUAUUGCUCUAAUGAGUCUUUUGAUAAAUAUUUUCAUCACACUUCACAAAUAAUAAUUAAUGCGCCGAACAGUAUAUAUAAAGAAUGUAUUUUAUUGAUUUUAUAAAUUGUAAUGCCACUAUAUGUCGAACGUUUACAGUGGUGUUCAGUAAAAAAUAGGUUUAAUGAAUAUGUCUUAUAAGUUACAAUAUAUAGUUGCGCAAACCUUAAUUCAUUUAACGUUUAUGCCACUUAUUCCGGCUUUGACACAAAGAUCUUUCAAGAAAGUACCACACAUUUUAAACACAACAGUUUUUACCCGUAUAUGUGACUCACAAGUUAAGUUAUGUAAGUUUGGUAUCACCACAGAACCCUUGUCAGUAGUCUGUCUUGAAAACAAAAACAAAAAACCUAUGACAGGGGGCAUAUGUGCCAUAUUUUUUCAGAUUAGAAGUAUCUGUUGUAUACUACUCACCACUUGGGAUCCAGUACGCUGUAAUACGCAAUCAAAGAAUUGAAGUCUGGAUAAGAUAUAGUUUUUCAAUGAAAUGCCACUUUAGUUAAACUUAAGACGAUAUAGCACUAAAUGCUUGAAAUUACAUAAUUUUACAUAGAAAGCAAUGGGGAUUAUGAAUUAGUGGUUUUUUUUUAUGAAAAUAAAGAAAGUUUUACAUUUUAAGGAAUAACACUAUCGAGAGGACCGAUCUGUUACCAUUGUGAUGGAGCACUGUCAAUGAAUGAAUGCAAAACAAUAUCAAUAUGUGAACAGAACCAGGUA